GGGCCUCUGUCGCGAUAGAUGGGUCUGCCUCGGUAUGUCGCUGCUUGGACACGACGUUACUUAUGUUUUGAGAAUUGCUUAUACAUUAAGACUCGCUUGUUACUUGUUAAAUCACGUCUGUUAUAUAUAAUAAUUGCUGUAUUAGGUGUUUUUACGUUUUGCUGCUAACCUGGGUUAGCCAGGCACGUCUGCCUCUCACGGCACUGCAGACCAGGAAAUCGCUGGGGCAACAUUACCAACUGGUUAUAUUUCUCUUUUUUUUUUUUUCUUUGGACUUUGUGAGGUAAGAGGAUAAAAUGUUUGUUGAAAGAUUUUUCUUGGAGUCUAUAUUAAACUCUUAUGGAAUGGAUAAAAAAGCAAUUACUUUAAUCACCUAAGGGUUUUUACUGUUUGCAUUUCCAAGGUACAUGGACUCCUCAGAGCUCCCAAAGCUGCCCUUCAGCUGGGCCCUUCCCUGGCAGCACUGACUGUAACACAGAUGUGCGUUGCAGAAUCCCAGUUAAUGAAAGCAGGCCAGGCAAGGGCACGUCGGGCUGGAAGGCAGACGGGGCUGGUUUUGCAAGAGAAGUGAUCACAUGGAUUCAUGUUUUGAGACCACUUUAUGGUAAUAUUAAAAAGCGGGUGCCCAAUGCUGGACAGGUUACAGGAAGUGGAAAGAUGAACUCGAGAAAUGUUUCCAAGGAGUUAAAAUGUAACAUAUUUGGGGGACAGAAAAGAGUAAAAAGGUAGUGAGAGAUAAAUAUGUAUUUAAUGAUUAACAGCAGGACAGUCAUGUGUUUGUUAAGAAUAUCUAAAAUGACUGUCAAGGAGUCAGUGCAUUUUCUUCUAGGCACUGUCAGCAGUUUUCAGCUAAGGCUACCUGGUUGUUGUACUUGGAGCCCACGCAAUUGUAAUAUGUUAAGUAUCAGGUUGUUAAACUUAUGAGUGGGCAUAUUUAUAUAGACUCUCAGUAGUAAUUUUAGGUUUAAAUAGAUUUUCUAAUGUUAAUAGUCCUUUUAUAAAAAUUUUUAAGUGUCAGAAAAUGAUACCUUAGUGAUAAGAAAAAUACACUGACAAGUCUUCUUUUUCAUUUAAACUGCAAAAGGUUCAGGAACUAAAUCAGAACUUGUUUAAUACACAAACUAGAUUUGGAUUAUUUUCAUUUCAGUAAUCUUAGCUAAAAUAAGAUUCAUGAGGAAAGAAAUAUGGAAAAGGGUCUUUCCAGUGGAAUUGACAUCCAAAGUGCUGCUCUUUUUAUUUCAUAGUUCUGGCAAAGAGGAACAAACUUUGGGUUUUGUUAAUAAAUUAGCCAGACCUCUAUAUCCUCACCAGAACUUUUUCUCAUUGUUCAUGAAAAAAAUUAAAUACUUGAGAAAGCCUAAAGUCAUGCUGUGAUCACCUAUUCCAGGACUGUUUUGUAUAGGUGAAUUUAGCCUCUAAUUUAUAUUCCCUCUCUGCCUUUCCCAUGUUGAAUUAAUGUUCAUGUGCUGCUUCCAGCAGAUUUUUAUGGUGAAAACUCCUCUAGCCUGUCUUGAAGUGUUUUUCCCGUGUUUUGAGGGUUGGGCCAGUGUACUUUGGAAAUGCAGUCAUUGUCAUUUGCUGAGUUCAGAAGUGUGAUCUUUGACAGUAGCCACUCGGCUCGUGCUUUUCUGGUGUGCAGUUGCUCCCAGGAGAUUUACAGAUUAAGUUUUUAAAAUAUUACGGGAAAAUUUCUUUUUUACUGGCUGUUAGUGAGAUCUGUACCCAGUCCUCACAUGGCCAUUCCCAGUCCCCUGCACUUACUGCUGUCCUGGACCUCCUGUGCUCUGUCACGACACAUUCAGGUCCCGGUUGGCUUUUUGCAGUUUCACCCUCUCCUGUACCUCCCCUUCCAUGUCUUCAUGCUCCACCAGACUUCUGUAUUUAUUUAGGAAGCCUCCUUGCAAAUGAGUUCCUUGUUUCUUAACCGUUCAUCUGCUGCCACUCUCCAUUCUUGGAUGCAGUAAAUGUCAGUAAUUUUCAGAACAACCUGUUGGGAUGUAACACAGGGAUCGUGGUUUAAAGGAAAUAAACAGCUAAUCUAGACUGCUUUUAUGAAACAAAGAUACUGUUUUCCUGAAAAUAUGUAGAGAGCAAAGAAGUAAGAGAGAGAAAAGAUAAGAUCUCUGAAUGCCUGCAGUUAGGUAUCAGCUGAUUUUUAUAUCCUUUCCCUUGUUUUGUUUGCUGUUCAUCAUGAUUCUAGGGUUGAUUUGGAGACCUGAUCUGAAGGACAAGGAUGUAGCAAACCUUGACUGGCAUCCCUUAAUUGUGUUUACUUAACCCCAGACGUCAUAUUCUAUUCCAGUGUACUCAGUCUUCCUCCCAGACUCUAAGCAAGGUGAAAAUGGGGUUUUUCCUGUUGUGUUAGUUGUUAAUUUUUUUUUUAGUUUGUGAUUUGCUUAUGGUUUGUUGUUGGGUUUUCUUUCCCUAGAGAGUUUUCUCAGAGUUUAAGUAGUUUGAGUGACUGUUCAAUUUUGAGCUCAUUCUGCACUCAGGAAAAGUUCCAUUUACAGUUGAAUUCCUACUUCAGGAUUCAGAGUACACUCACAGGCUACAUAUGAUAUGAUUCUCAAAUGUAAAUUUAGCCACUGGAAGCUGUUUCACGUUUGCUUCUUUGUAUAUGUGCAGACGUACAGAGCCCAGCAGCACUUAUUACAGACCCAGUUAUGUUAAACUGGGAUAUUCCAGGGACAACAGCAAAUAUUUGAGAAGGCUUUUAUUGUUUUUACUGUUGCAUUUUGCUAUGGUUUUGAUACUUUAAAUUGGUUCUAUCCUAACAGGUCACUGGGCCCCAUUAGCCAAUGAACAAAUACUUAGGAGACGAUCCCUAGUAGAGAUUAAGGAAUGACUCUCUUGUAGGAAAGGAGAUUCAGUGCAUUAUGUCAGUUUAAUCUUUCUUCUGUCUCAGCCACUUUUAUUCCAUUUCAUUACUGAUAUUUCUCUGGAUUUCUUUGUCAUCCUUCAUAACAUUUUAUUUAUUUGUUUUAGUUACUAAAAACUGAGGUUUUUUUUCAAUAAGUUUUUGUGGAGAUACAGAUUUUAUCUUUCUGACAAGUCUCCAGAUUCUUUGUGUUAAUAUACACAUAUUUAUGGAUAUUUGGAAUUUAAUUUGGAAAAAGGAACUUUUUUCCCAAAAAAGUGGUUUUUUUGGUACUGGAGACUCAGAAUUUAUUUGCCUCUUUUACACAUCCUUUCCUUGUGUUAUAUGUCAAGAUGUUUCUUGUGACCAUUCUAUAAAGGGAUGCAGUGUUUUUUACAGUUAGUAAACCUCCUUAGUUUUAAGGAGGUUUUCUCAACUUUUAUAUUAAUUUAUAUAGGCCCAAGUUGAUAAGUUUUCACUUAAACUACUGAGCAAGACAAGCUGAAGAUUCUGGUUGUAAGGAUGUGUGAAAAAUCCAAGUGUCUUUGGCUUACAGUUUGUGUGUUGGCAGCACUUCCAUCUGCCUUGAUCUAACACGAAUUUUAAUUUUGUACCAUGCACUGAGUGUAAAUGGAGUCGUGGUGUGAAAUGCUGAGAGUCAGCACUGCUGAAAGCAGUGUUGAGGUGCAGCAUCUGUGAAUACAAACCUGCCCUUCUGGGACACGGUGUAAAAUGAUGUAAUGGAGUGAAAAUGCUCUGCAGGAGUAGAUUUCACCUGCUGGAACUGAGUCUUUGCUGCAAUACUUCACAAGGCUCGGGUGUGAUGCUUUCCUGACUCUGCAGUGGGAUUGUAUUGUAGGAAAAAAACCCAAAAAUCUGGAGAUCCUGAGGCUUUGGUUUGCUGUCCUGCACCUCUGCUACAAAGAGGCAACACUUAGAAAAGCCUUUAGUGCUUGGGGGGUAAGUUUGCAAAGAAAUUACCUUCUGAAAAAUUCAGGUUGCCCUUUGAAAACACUUAACUUCACUGUUUAUACACUUGCAAAAAGUUCAGAUUAUCACCUGUUUGUUUCUCACAGCUUUAUCGAAGUAUUCCUGUUCCUGCAGCAUCAAAUGAUGUUAGAGUUUCAUGAAAAGCACAGUGGAAUAUUUUAAACAUUUUUGGUUUAGUGAAUUAAUUUAUGUAGCUUACUGAAAUUCUCUUAGUUCUUGGAUUAAAAAUCUUGUACUGGUAAAAGUGUUUCUAGAAACAUAAAUGCCUUGUGCUGAGUCUCAAAGUUUUAGAUACUCUGGAAUUUACGUAUCAAGGAAUUACACUGUAGAGGUUGUUGCUACUGAAAUAAAAUAAAUGCUGUUCUUUGAUCAACUUGAUUAUGUUAAUGAGAGCUGAAAGCAUGGAAGUAAAAUUCAAGCAAGGUAAUUCAAUUAAGGUAAAAUUUGUAAUUUUUAAUUUUUACUACCUUACUACUAGAUUAGAAAUGUUUGGUAGUUUGAAAGUAGUAGGAAUGUUUGAUAGUCAUACCAACAUUGCUGUGAUAGCAGCAAUAUACUGAUCAGGAGGUAAUUCAAGUUCUAAGGCACCUUUGCUUGCCAUUAUUAUCGUUAAUGCUCCAAACUAAUGAACAUUGAACUUAAAACUCUACGUUGUCAGUCUGUUCAAACUCUGAAUUACUUCACAAUUAAAUUCUGCUUCAGACUGCACUCUCAGCUAUAAGUUGUGUUGAAUUUUGGAAGAGCAUGUAUAACUAGGUGAGCUCAUUCUCCUUACAGAAAAUGGCAUUUAUGAGAAAAUACAGAGGGGUUGUUUUGGCUGUGGAUGCUUAUCAGUAACAGUAAAAUACAGGUCACACAUCAGCCAGGUCAUACUAUGGGACUGUAAAGUAGCUUAGUUUCUAAAAAAAGAUCCCUCUUGGCUACGUUAAACUAAAACCAUCAACAACAGGAUUCAGCAGCUUCUUAGAUAAAUCACUACCAGUUUGAAAUGGAGCCAGUGCAAUGCAAUGUUUGUAAUGCCAAUAAGAUGUUUAGAUUUGUUUAUUUUUUUUCCCCUUUCUCACAGCUAGAAUUCCAAGAGGAAAAUUUUCUUGAUCUUAUUUGGGUAGUUCUUGAGGAUGGCAAGCAAAGGACCCACGGCUUCUGCAUCAACAAAGAGCUCCAGUACUGGAGGGACCAGUGGCAGCAGUAGCAGCAAUGGUCCUGGGGACAACACUAAUCAGGACAACACUUUUGAAUGCAACAUCUGCUUAGACACUGCCAAGGAUGCAGUUAUCAGCUUGUGUGGGCACCUCUUCUGUUGGCCUUGUUUACACCAGUGGCUAGAAACCAGGCCAAACAGACAAGUGUGUCCUGUAUGCAAAGCAGGAAUCAGUCGAGAUAAAGUUAUUCCUCUGUAUGGAAGAGGUAGCACUGGGCAACAGGACCCCAGAGAGAAAACUCCACCACGACCCCAAGGACAGAGACCUGAACCAGAGAACAGAGGGGGAUUCCAGGGCUUUGGGUUUGGCGAUGGUGGCUUCCAGAUGUCAUUUGGAAUUGGGGCGUUUCCCUUUGGUAUAUUUGCAACAGCCUUCAACAUAAAUGAUGGGCGACCUCCUCCAGCUGUUCCAGGGACUCCUCAAUAUGUGGAUGAGCAGUUCCUUUCCCGCCUCUUCCUGUUUGUGGCACUGGUGAUAAUGUUCUGGCUGUUGAUUGCAUAAGUCUUUUCCAUUACUCUAUAUAUUCAUGACCAACAAGGCCACUGAAACAGUUACAAACUGCAUCCCCAUCCCAUUUUAAACCUCUUGGUGUCUGGUUCCAUAGCUAACUAUGGGCUUCAGGAAUUGGUGGUACCACAGCACAAUGAGGAAUCUCACAUUUUGCACCAGAGUUGGGAAUUAAAACAUUGGUUUAAAAGUGUAUUUCAGCUCAGAUAUCUUGUACAACAGGUUCCUGCCACAAACCAUGGGCCUAGCGUUGAGCUGCACUCUGAAAGGGAGUGCUGCUUUGAAAUCCUGUGCCAAUCAGUGACACCAGGUCUGUGGGAUAGACAGUUAUCCCAAGGUAGACUGGGCAGGUAAGGAAACUUCUCCAGCGUGACCAGUAUCUCCUGCUUUGCAACCACGAUGGAUCUGCCAGAGCUGCAGAUGAUAUUUAAUGUCUCCAUCAACAUCCGACCUUCUCCAGGAAAUCAUCUGCAGCACUGCUGAGACUCUCUGGGGCACAGCACGUGAUGCAAAUGGAACCAGGUCUGGAGACUGGUUUCUGUCUGUUAUUUCCCGGCGUGAUGGAAAACCCUUCCUGAUGGUUCUGAUGGCUAUUAGAAGAAGGGAUAUAAAUUUAUGCUGCAAUUUUUUAAAGCCUGAGCAUGCUGAAGCCAGACACUGGAAGAGUCUCUGGCUGUGGAGCCAGGUGGGGCUGCUGGAGCCAGCCCAGUUCCUCACUGACAAACAGUGUUGUCUUCCCCGGCUCUGUGCAGCACCUGUGGCUGCACUCGUGGAUAAUCCCCUCACAACCUCGUCACUGUAGCGACAUUUAUCUUUCCCAAGGCUUUGAGACUUUCUACACAAGGUCAUGUACUCCAGAUAAAAUCCUAUUACAGAUCUGAGAUCAGCUUGUUUGGGGAGAGGAACAAAAGGCAUGUUUACCUGAGUCUUGAGGUAAAACUUGUCCUACUGUAAAAUUACCCAGGAGGAGACAUGAGAUCCUGCCUUUGCCAGCACAUGCUCAUUAGGGAACUUUUGGAAGACCUCCUCUCUGCAGGUGCACACAGACCUUCUCCCGUGCCACAGCAGAACACCAACAGCACAAGAGUCUCUGCAGUAUCUACCAAAGAUUUUAAUUUGAAGUGCUGGAGGAAACCACAACCAUUAAUGUGCUGAGGGGAUAUUUCGGAAGUGUCAAGGCAGAGGAUGACUGAAAUUUAACUUGCCUACCUCCAAAAUUCCAUCCGGCAAGUAGAAUGUUGCAAAGGUUCUGCAGUGUUUUGUCACGUCAGAUUUGUACCUGACGUGAUGAUAAUCUGACAGAAUAUAUUGCUCAACUAUUUAUAGUUGAGGUGGUGCUUCAGCUUUUGUUGUGCGACACUUCUGAGAAGCUGAACUUCGGCAUAGGAGUCCUCUCACGUGCAUGACUUGGUAACUGGGGCCCUUCCUAGGAGCAAGGCUGUUUUUGUUUGGUUGUCCUACAAUGUCGCAGCUUUGGGUUCCUCUCCUGCGCAGUCAGCACCACCUGCUGAUGGGAAGGGAAGGGAAGGUUCAUGUGACAGUCAGGGAUUGAUUCCUUCCCCUUUUGUACGGAGAAACCCGAUGCUGGGAGGUUACGCGGGGAGGAGAAGGGUAACCCUUUGAAGCCUUUAUCCCAUAAAGAGAAUAGAGAAGUGACUGCAAUAGAUUCAAGAGGUACUGAAAUAUAUUUAAAUAAUACAUUUUUAAAACCAGAAUUUUAAUGGAUCGGGGGGAUUUUCAUCUAGGCGCGAGAGACAUAAUGGAUUUAGAGAAAGCUGGAGAAACAUGACUGAGAGCUCUUACUUUCCGGCAAUUCAAGGAUGAAAUAGUCUAAAAAGUGUUAACGCUUGGUUCCCCUUUUCCCUGGUGUGCUUUUGUAUGUACCCCUGCCCCGUAACCCGAGCGCACACGGCCCGGACGGCUCGGUUAGUGCGUUACCGUCCCUCCUCACUAAUUUUCACUGUUGUGAAAGUGAUUUAGAAUUAAAAAAUGGUUUUACAUUGA